rnacentral:rRNA from 1 species
UACGGAGGGUGCAAGCGUUAUCCGGAAUCACUGGGUUUAAAGGGUGCGUAGGCGGCUUAUUAAGUCAGAGGUGAAAUCCCGGAGCUUAACUUCGGAACUGCCUUUGAUACUGGUAAGCUUGAAACAGGACGAGGUUGGCGGAAUGUGGCAUGUAGCGGUGAAAUGCAUAGAUAUGCCAUAGAACACCGAUUGCGAAGGCAGCUGGCUAGACCUGCUUUGACGCUGAGGCACGAAAGCGUGGGGAGCAAACAGGAUUAGAUACCCUGGUAGUCCACGCCCUAAACGAUGUUCACUCGACGUACGGCCGUUAGGCGGUGCGUCCAAGCGAAAGCGAUAAGUGAACCACCUGGGGAGUACGUCGGCAACGAUGAA